UACGGAAGGUGCAAGCGUUAGUGGGAAUUAUUGGGCGUAAAGGGUGCGUAGGCGGGAACAAAAGUCGGCUGUGAAAUUCUGAGGCUUAACCUCAGAGCUGCAUCCGAAACUGCGUUUCUAGAGGAACGGCGGAGAAGACGGAAUUCCAUGUGUAGCGGUGAAAUGCGUAGAUAUAUGGAAGAACACCUGUGGCGAAAGCGGUCUUCUAGCCUCCUCCUGACGCUGAGGCACGAAAGCAAGGGGAGCAAACAGG
rnacentral:rRNA from 1 species